UACGUAGGGGCCUAGCGUUGUCCGGAUUUAUUGGGCGUAAAGAGCUCGUAGGCGGUUUGUCGCGUCUGCUGUGAAAACUCGGGGCUUAACCCCGGGCCUGCAGUGGGUACGGGCAGACUAGAGUGCGGUAGGGGAGACUGGAAUUCCUGGUGUAGCGGUGAAAUGCGCAGAUAUCAGGAAGAACACCCGUGGCUAAGGCGGCUCUCUAGUACGGUACUGACGCUGAGACGCGAAAGCGUGGGGAGCGAACAGG
rnacentral:rRNA from 1 species